GGUCAACAAACCUCUACGCAGACAUCUCAAGCGCAAUCACAACCAAAACCUUAUCAACAAACCAAGACUCGGGGGACGUCUCGGCAACCUCAUCACCAGACGUAGGACCAUCUCAGGAAUACACCUCCAUACCGACUGCAUCAUCAUCUUACAUUGGCUGCAGCGAAACUCUCCGGAAGGCGUUUUUAAACCGCAAUAUCCCACCAGAAGCCAUAAAUCUGAUGUUAGCUUCACUCUCAAAUAACACUAAAAAACAGUACAAUUGCGCACAGUACACGGCACGCAUCAACCUCUACGGCCAGUGCCGCGGGUGUAUGCAUCGAAACUAUUCGUAAAGCAGCUGGGUGGAC